GACGUAGGGCGCGAGCGUUGUCCGGAUUUAUUGGGCGUAAAGAGCUCGUAGGCGGUUUGUCGCGUCUGCUGUGAAAACUGGAGGCUCAACCUCCAGCCUGCAGUGGGUACGGGCAAACUAGAGUGCGGUAGGGGAGAUUGGAAUUCCUGGUGUAGCGGUGAAAUGCGCAGAUAUCAGGAGGAACACCAACGGCGAAGGCAGCACUCUGGGCCGGUACUGACGCUGAGGAGCGAAAGCGUGGGGAGCAAACAGG
rnacentral:rRNA from 1 species